UUGGUGUGAAUUGCAGAAUUCAGUGAAUCAUCGAAUCUUUGAACGCACCUUGCGCCCUUUGGUAUUCCGAGGGGCAUGCCUGUUUGAGUGUCAUUAAAUACCAUCAACCCUCUUUUGACUUCGGUCUCGAGAGUGGCUUGGAAGUGGAGGUCUGCUGGAGCCUAACGGAGCCAGCUCCUCUUAAAUGUAUUAGCGGAUUUCCCUUGCGGGAUCGCGUCUCCGAUGUGAUAAUUUCUACGUCGUUGACCAUCUCGGGGCUGACCUAGUCAGUUUCAAUAGGAGUCUGCUUCCAACCGUCUCUUGACCGAGACUAGCGACUUGUGCGCUAACUUUUGACUUGACCUCAAAUCAGGUAGGACUACCCGCUGAACUUAAGCAUAUCAAUAA
rnacentral:rRNA from 1 species